AGAGGUCCCCCUGCUGGGUUCCUCCUAUGCAGUAACAGGUGUGAGCAUCCAUGCAGCAUUCUGAUGGUCAUGUAUGAUACUGCACACAACGAGUUGCUGUCUUCAGCCAA
ensembl:miRNA gga-mir-6516 gga-mir-6516